rnacentral:rRNA from 1 species
GACGAACGUUGGCGGCGUGCUUAACACAUGCAAGUCGAACGGAAAGGCCCUGCUUUUGUGGGGUGCUCGAGUGGCGAACGGGUGAGUAACACGUGAGUAACCUGCCCUUGACUUUGGGAUAACUUCAGGAAACUGGGGCUAAUACCGGAUAGGAGCUCCUGCUGCAUGGUGGGGGUUGGAAAGUUUCGGCGGUUGGGGAUGGACUCGCGGCUUAUCAGCUUGUUGGUGGGGUAGUGGCUUACCAAGGCUUUGACGGGUAGCCGGCCUGAGAGGGUGACCGGCCACAUUGGGACUGAGAUACGGCCCAGACUCCUACGGGAGGCAGCAGUGGGGAAUAUUGCACAAUGGGCGGAAGCCUGAUGCAGCAACGCCGCGUGCGGGAUGACGGCCUUCGGGUUGUAAACCGCUUUCGCCUGUGACGAAGCGUGAGUGACGGUAAUGGGUAAAGAAGCACCGGCUAACUACGUGCCAGCAGCCGCGGUGAUACGUAGGGUGCGAGCGUUGUCCGGAUUUAUUGGGCGUAAAGGGCUCGUAGGUGGUUGAUCGCGUCGGAAGUGUAAUUUUGGGGCUUAACCCUGAGCGUGCUUUCGAUACGGGUUGACUUGAGGAAGGUAGGGGAGAAUGGAAUUCCUGGUGGAGCGGUGGAAUGCGCAGAUAUCAGGAGGAACACCAGUGGCGAAGGCGGUUCUCUGGGCCUUUCCUGACGCUGAGGAGCGAAAGCGUGGGGAGCGAACAGGCUUAGAUACCCUGGUAGUCCACGCUGUAAACGGUGGGUACUAGGUGUGGGGUCCAUUCCACGGGUUCCGUGCCGUAGCUAACGCUUUAAGUACCCCGCCUGGGGAGUACGGCCGCAAGGCUAAAACUCAAAGGAAUUGACGGGGCCCCGCACAAGCGGCGGAGCAUGCGGAUUAAUUCGAUGCAACGCGUAGAACCUUACCUGGGUUUGACAUGGAUCGGGAGUGCUCAGAGAUGGGUGUGCCUCUUUUGGGGUCGGUUCACAGGUGGUGCAUGGCUGUCGUCAGCUCGUGUCGUGAGAUGUUGGGUUAAGUCCCGCAACGAGCGCAACCCUUGUUCACUGUUGCCAGCACGUUAUGGUGGGGACUCAGUGGAGACCGCCGGGGUCAACUCGGAGGAAGGUGGGGAUGACGUCAAGUCAUCAUGCCCCUUAUGUCCAGGGCUUCACGCAUGCUACAAUGGCUGGUACAGAGAGUGGCGAGCCUGUGAGGGUGAGCGAAUCUCGGAAAGCCGGUCUCAGUUCGGAUUGGGGUCUGCAACUCGACCUCAUGAAGUCGGAGUCGCUAGUAAUCGCAGAUCAGCAACGCUGCGGUGAAUACGUUCCCGGG